GGUGUCGGCGGCAGGAUAAAAACGCUUAGAGUGUGAGUUGGGUGAUCCUUCUCCCUUGCCUUUCCUGGCGUAAAUGGUGUGAAAUAGUGGCAGCUUUUGGGCUACGUCAAAAUUGUGCGAUCACGAUAGCACGGCAGGCUAGCUGUUACACGCAGGAGCAGUCAUUAAUAGAUCGGCAGUGCGACCGUGGCUGUUCAUCGCGGACUCCUGUGUCGGUUGGUUGAGCGUGCCACACUUCUUUAAAGCCCAGCCGUAUUGGCGUUGGCCACCCCGACCGUGGGAUUAGUUCCCUGUGGGACAGUUCUGUUGUUUUGCCUUGAGAGGAAUUGAAGUGUACUCUGGAACAUCGUUGUCAAACACUUGAGCGUGGUGUGCCAUUAUAACGUUAAGUUAGCCACCCCAAGAAUCAGCAGUGUUGGACUUGUGGCAUGAUUCUGGAAUAUUGGACUUCUUUUUAACUGAUUUUAUUGUGUUUAUGUUCUUGUAGUGUGUGUAUGUGUGUGUGUGUGUGUGUGUGUGUGUGUGUGUGUGUGUGUGU